AUUGAACGCUGGCGGCAUGCCUUACACAUGCAAGUCGAACGGCAGCACGGGAGCAAUCCUGGUGGCGAGUGGGCGAACGGGUGAGUAAUAUAUCGGAACGUGCCCAGUAGUGGGGGAUAGCCCGGCGAAAGCCGGAUUAAUACCGCAUACGACCUGAGGGUGAAAGCGGGGGAUCGCAAGACCUCGCGCUAUUGGAGCGGCCGAUAUCAGAUUAGCUAGUUGGUGGGGUAAAGGCCUACCAAGGCUACGAUCUGUAGUUGGGUCUGAGAGGACGACCAGCCACACUGGGACUGAGACACGGCCCAGACUCCUACGGGAGGCAGCAGUGGGGAAUUUUGGACAAUGGGCGCAAGCCUGAUCCAGCAAUGCCGCGUGCAGGAAGAAGGCCUUCGGGUUGUAAACUGCUUUUGUCAGGGAAGAAAUCUUCUGGGCUAAUACCCCGGGAGGAUGACGGUACCUGAAGAAUAAGCACCGGCUAACUACGUG
rnacentral:rRNA from 1 species